rnacentral:rRNA from 1 species
UCCAGACUCCUACGGGAGGCAGCAGUGGGGAAUAUUGGACAAUGGGGGGAACCCUGAUCCAACGACGCCGCGUGAGUGAAGAAGUAUUUCGGUAUGUAAAGCCCUAUCGGCAGGGAAGAAGGAGGACGGUACCUGACUAAGAAGCCCCGGCUAACUACGUGCCAGCAGCCGCGGUAAUACGUAGGGGGCAAGCGUUAUCCGGAUUUACUGGGUGUAAAGGGAGCGUAGACGGUGAAGCAAGUCUGAAGUGAAAGGCGGGGGCUCAACCCCCGGACUGCUUUGGAAACUGUUUGACUGGAGUGCAGGAGAGGUAAGUGGAAUUCCUAGUGUAGCGGUGAAAUGCGUAGAUAUUAGGAGGAACACCAGUGGCGAAGGCGGCUUACUGGACUGUAACUGACGUUGAGGCUCGAAAGCGUGGGGAGCAAACAGGAUUAGAUACCCUCGUA